UACAGAGGGUGCAAGCGUUAAUCGGAAUUACUGGGCGUAAAGCGUGCGUAGACGGUUACAUAAGUCGGGUGUGAAAGCCCCGGGCUCAACCUGGGAAUUGCAUUCGAGACUGCGUAGCUAGGGUGCGGAAGAGGGAAGCGGAAUUUCCGGUGUAGCGGUGAAAUGCGUAGAUAUCGGUAGGAACACCAGUGGCGAAGGCGGUCUCCUGGGGCAUUCUUGACGCUGAGGCGCGAAAGCUGGGGGAGCGAACGGG
rnacentral:rRNA from 1 species